AGUGAACGCUGGCGGCAGGCCUAACACAUGCAAGUCGAGCGGCAGCGGAGUAAUCGCGUUCCCGGCGAGGGGCGGAGGGGCGGGGGAUACAUCGGAAUCUGCCCUGUUGUGUUUUAUAACCUAGGGAAACUUAGGCACUUACCCCAUAACACCAACCGAUGUACGCGGGGGAUCGCGAGACCUUGCGCGCCAGCGCGAGUCAAUGUGCCGAUGUCUAGUUAGCUAGGUGGCGGGGUAAAGGCCCACCAAGGCGACGAUCGGUAGCUGGUCUGAGAGGAUGAUCAGCCACACUGGAACUGAGACACGGUCCAGACUCCUACGGGAGGCAGCAGUGGGGAAUAUUGGACAAUGGGCGCAAGCCUGAUCCAGCCAUGCCGCGUGGGUGAAGAAGGCCUUCGGGUUGUAAAGCCCUUUUGUUCGGGAAGAAAUGCAGUAGGCUAAUACCCCGGUCGUAUGACGGUACCGAAAGAAUAAGCACCGGCUAACUUCGUG
rnacentral:rRNA from 1 species